ACUAAAGCCCAACCUAAAACUUAGAUGGCAAUGCCAAAAACCCCAAUCCACGGUUGGUCCAAGAGACAAAAGACAAUUUACAAUAUUAUAGUCUAGAAAACCCUAGGCAAAGUUACUGAACAUUCUAGAAGAGAGAGGAAAAGCCUCCAACGCUCAAUCCUGCUCCGGUGGAUGAGUCUCCUUGGGAAGACAAAGUCACUUGCAUAGAAAGCAACCUUGUCCAGAUCCGGUUGAUAACAGUGAAGAGGAAGGUGAAUUCUGCAUAUAUUUCGACCUCUCCAAUGGCGCGAUGCUCGGCUGAUGAAGUUCUCCCAAGGAAGAUGAGCCACCUGAAAUCUGCAUUUGGACUACAAGAAAGCCUAAAUCGGUCUAGUAAAGGGGCAAGAGCUGCAAGAGAAGAAGAACUAUGAUUAUGCGGUUUCAAGAAUUUCGCGAAUUCAAAAAACGAGUUCGCGAAUUUAGAAAAAUGAAUUCGCGAAUUUUGCACGAUUUCGUUCCCAAACUACUAGUCUAGCCUAGUUGUAGUUUUUUUCUAUUAGUUGCGAUGCGAACAGGCCUUUACUUAUUAGAUUAGUUGAGUAGGCUUGCAUUAGUUGUCUGCCAUAGCUAGUUUUGGGGCUUUCGAAAUCAAAAAGUCUAUCCGGCUUGGCUUCGCUAUCGCUCAUGACUUGUAUUUACGUCGGCCCGGAAUGCCCCUAUAGUCUUUCCAAUCCGCCGAUCCGCGUGCGGAGCUUGGGAGUCUGAUCCUCAUACACGAACUGUGUGACUAAGACUAUCUAAUAAUAAUAUGGAUAAAAAUUCUUUUUAUAUGGCA